AAUUUUGGACAAUGGGGGAAACCCUGAUACAGCCAUACCGCGUGGAUGAUGAAGGCCUUCGGGUUGUAACGUACUUUUGGCCGAGAAGACAAGGUAUCUCCUAAUACGAGAUACUGCUGACGGUAUCUGCAGAAUAAGCACCGGCUAACUACGUGCCAGCAGCCGCGGUAAUGCGUAGGGUGCAAGCGUUAAUCGGAAUUACUGGGCGUAAAGCGUGUGUAGGCGGUUCGGAAAGAAAGAUGUGAAAACCCAGGGCUCAAACUUGGAACUGCAGUUUUAACUGCCGCGCUAGAGUAUGUCAGAGGUGGGUAGAAUUCGACGUGUAGCAGUGAAAUGCGUAGAUAUGUGGAGGAAUACCGAUGGCGAAGGCAGCCCCCUGGGAUAAUACUGACGCUCAGACACGAAAGCGUGGGGAGCAAACA
rnacentral:rRNA from 1 species